rnacentral:rRNA from 1 species
UACGUAGGGGGCUAGCGUUGUCCGGAAUUACUGGGCGUAAAGCGUGCGCAGGCGGUUCUGAAAGUCAGCUGUGAAAGCCCCGGGCUUAACCUGGGAAUGGCGGUUGAAACUACAGGACUAGAAUCUGGCAGAGGGGGGUGGAAUUCCACGUGUAGCAGUGAAAUGCGUAGAGAUGUGGAGGAACACCGAUGGCGAAGGCAGCCCCCUGGGCUGAGAUUGACGCUCAGGCACGAAAGCGUGGGGAGCAAACAGG